UAGGGUUUGUUUUUUUUUGGAUCUCCGGUGGCUUACCCCUGAAGAAGGCUGAACUCAGAGCAUCUCACGUGCUACAGGAUUCACUUUACAUGGAAUCGGAGAGGCCUCGCACGCGAGAUUGGCUUCGCGUGCCCGUUUCUUGAACCCCGGGCCAUCCUCGGGUCUUCCCCUCGAAAUCGUCCGAAGAAGGCCGAGCAGCGGCAGCAGUAAGGAAGAAGAAAUCCAAUUGUUCUGCUGUCUUCUCCUUCGUUUGAUCUCUCAUUAAACCCCUGGGAGCAGACGGAAAUCUCAAUAUGAUGUCUCCGAGGCCGUCCGUCUCUGAUUCCCGUUCCACUUCCAUCAGGCACACUCCAUUGCAAAUAAUACAUGUUAUUGGCAAUUUCAUGAGGAUCUGGUCCGUCUACUCCAUGUACCACUAUCUAUCCCAUCAAGGAGAUUCAGUAAUAGCUUUUAUUUUCAGUUGUCUGGUCCCAGCUUCUAUCAUCUUCCUGGUUCUGCAGAAGCCUUGGAAAGGGAGGCCCCUGCCCAAUUCACAGGUUGUACCUACUGUAAUAAAUGGAGGAAUAAUGGCAUUAUACUAUAUAUUGUGGGGGAAAGGCCUUUCAUCAUGUGGUCCACUUAUAACUAUAUCGGCAGAGUAUGCGGGUGCUGUCCUUGGAGUUUUAUCUGCGGUAUUGUAUGGACGAAGAGCUAAUAUUUGGAAAAAAGUGGGUGGACUUGUUGCUAUGGUGGCAGCAUAUUAUUUCUUAUCAGAAGGAUGGGCCACAAGAACAAAUUCACCCUUCUAUAGCUUUGGUUCAGAACCACUGGCACAGGAAAAGCAAAUUUUAGGAAUUAAAGAAAUAGCAGUGCCCAUCUCUGCUGGAAUCUUAUCAGCUUUAAGAAGGGUAAUUGCACGGCGUGUGUCACUCAAGAAUCAGCUUAAGAGGAGACUUCAUGCAAUUACUGUUGCUUCGGCUACAUGCUUUCUUUUCCCUCUCGCCAUGUGGGAUACAAUCUUGGGAUCAACAACCGAUAGCAUCGCCAAGUUCCAAUUUCCAAGUUGGGCUUAUUUGAGUACAAUCCUCUUUGGAAUUAUUUUUAUAUUCUAUAUUGAUAAUGUUGCUGAGGAAAGAUUGCAUCUUGUUUUCUCUUCUCCAAGACAUUUAAUGAUUUCAGGAGGAUGCAUCAUUAUUAUGGAGAUGUUAUACAAAAUGGACUUCUCACUGUUAGGUUUUCUGAUUUGCUCCUUGAUUCUGGGAUUUGGCAUUUUUGAAGCAACUUCUCUGGAGCGCUCAAAAAAGGACCAUUUAGAUCCUCAAGAAAUACCAGAUGGAACAUUUCAGAGUCAAUUGCAGAUGUCCCCACUUCCAAGCUGAUGUAUGUGCUCUGAUUGUUGAUUUACUAUUUAAGCUAAUCCAUCUAAAUAUUUGUAUCUGUAGAGUAGUUUAUUUACCAUAUAAAGUAGUCUCUUUCAUAAAUGCUCACCAAUUAGCUUUGUUUAAUGUUCUUGGCACAGUAAUAUAGAGAUAGAAAGUUCUUUGGGACACGUUAAUUACUGAUUACCACCACAAUGAAUAUAACCAGUUCAGCAUUCCUGGUUUACCUUGAUUUACCAUGUCCAAGUUGGUAGAUAGGUGAUCCAUCAAGUUUGAUAGGUGAACUUAUAAGCUACUGAUGAUGGUAGCCCAUAAGAGCAACUGUGACAUGACUAGAGUAAUUAAUGGUGAUCUGUCACAAUGAAUUGAAAUGAUUCUAAAUUCUGAGAUAAUUUUUUUUCAUAACUCAAAUAUCAAUAGUUGUGCUCUUGGCAACCUAGGUUUCACUGUCCUGAGGUGCAUCCAUGACUAUUAGUGCAGCAAGGUCACAUUCUUCUCAACAGUUAAAAUUAUGAUGAAGUCCUAAAUAACUCUAAUAAUAGCUCCACGGAAUAAUCAACUCCAAAGCAGGCCAUAGCAAUUCAUACUGGCUGGUUCUUUCUAAUUCUAUGCUUUUGGCCUGUAUAUAGCCAAUCCACCAGAAGAGCUGGCUGGGGAUCAGUCAAACUUCUUGUUGAACAUUGGUACAAUCAGAUUCAGUCUCAGGAAAUGCCACAAAUUAUGAUGAGGCUUUUUCUUUGUUCUCUUUUGAUUGUCAAAAAAAGGAGAUAAGUGGAGAAACAUAAAAAGAGGAUGAAAAGCCCAAAAAGUAGAUCAUCAUCUGUAUCAUUGUCAUCAUUACAGCUCAAUCCUUUCCCUAUCAAAUAUUGGGUGAGAUACAGAGCAGAACUUGUUGUUAAGAAGGCUUUAUGUAUGAACAGGAAUUGCAAUUAGUUGUCAACCUUAUGCCAACCCUCUGGAAAGCGGUGCCAAAUUCAUGGUCAAGGCAAAUUUGGUACUCACUUCUACUUUUGUUUUGCAAAGUAAGAUCACGAAGGAGACCAUUGCUGCUGCUUAUGUGUAGUAUAAUGCAAGGAACUAAUUUUUUCUUGAGUCAUUAUUUCUUAAACAAUCUCCGCUGUAAGUUCCACACUAGUCCUCUCAACUUUUUAUUUUCUGCUAAUUCAGCAUCAGAAUAAUUUGUAUCUUCUAUUAUUUUGUAGGACUCAGCAUGAAGCACGUUUCUUUGUAAUUAGAUCAAUGAGAAUGUGGACGCAAGUUUGGUGCAUGAAAUUUUAUUCAUAGAAAGUUUGUCUUGCUGUAAUUGCAGAUCCACAUGAAACUGUAACUUCAGCAAGCAGCCCAAUCAUUACAACCCAACCUUUGGCCAAAACAACUAUAGGUUGAGACGAGGUACUGCUAAGCCUGGCUGGGUUCAUUCUUUAGCUACAACAAAGUACUGGAGUUUCAGAAAUUGCAGGCUUCCAGCUACAUGCAGCUCCAUUAGCAUGUUCAGUUUCUACCAACUGCUGGCUUUGAUUGAGCUAUGGAUUGUUAAAUGUUUGAAUAGUAAUAUGACCUGACUUAUACCUUUGACAAAUAUAAAGGGGUAUUGGUUUGAUUACUGAAUGCAAACCUAAGCAACAACCAAUCUUGCAUUCAUUCAGAUUCAGAAGGGACUUUUGAUAUAGAUAGAGAUUUUUGUUAUA